rnacentral:rRNA from 1 species
GGUCAGGACGAACGCUGGCGGCGUGCUUAACACACGCAAGUCGAACGGAGUUAAGCGCUGGUCUGAUGCUAGCUUGCUAGUGGAUUUCCUGCUUAACUUAGUGGCGGACGGGUGAGUAACGCGUGAGUAACCUGCCCCUCAGUGGGGAAUAACGCCCUGAAAAGAGCGCUAAUACCGCAUAACAUAUUUUUGUCGCAUGGCAGAGAUAUCAAAGAUUUAUCGCUGAGGGAUGGACUCGCGUCCGAUUAGCUUGUUGGCGGGUAACGGCCCACCAAGGCGACGAUCGGUAGCCGGACUGAGAGGUUGAACGGCCACAUUGGGACUGAGACACGGCCCAGACUCCUACGGGAGGCAGCAGUGGGGGAUAUUGCGCAAUGGGGGGAAACCCUGACGCAGCAACGCCGCGUGGAGGAUGACGGUUUUCGGAUUGUAAACUCCUUUUAUGGGGGACGAACCAAGACGGUACCCCAUGAAUAAGCUCCGGCUAACUACGUGCCAGCAGCGGC